rnacentral:lncRNA from 1 species
GAUACAACAUGGUAUUUCAGUUUACAAACAUAGAGCUCAAAAUUAAUUUAUAAACUGAGUUCAAAUUCAUGAAAGAUUACAAGCCAGAGUUCUCAAAAUAAAAUACAGCGGAAGUUUAAACAAUAAAGCGCGAAUAUAGAUACAUGACGACAUGAGUAGCCCACCACAUGUCAUCCAACACGAGACCACCUCAAGGCGAGAUUGGAGACCACUCAACCAAC